rnacentral:rRNA from 1 species
ACUCAAAUGAAUUGACGGGGGCCCGCACAAGCGGUGGAGCAUGUGGUUCAAUUCGAAGCAACGCGCAGAACCUUACCAGCUCUUGACAUGUCCCGUAUGAGUACCAGAGAUGGAACUCUUCAGUUCGGCUGGCGGGAACACAGGUGCUGCAUGGCUGUCGUCAGCUCGUGUCGUGAGAUGUUGGGUUAAGUCCCGCAACGAGCGCAACCCUCGCCCUUAGUUGCCAUCAUUUAGUUGGGCACUCUAAGGGGACUGCCGGUGAUAAGCCGCGAGGAAGGUGGGGAUGACGUCAAGUCCUCAUGGCCCUUACGGGCUGGGCUACACACGUGCUACAAUGGCGGUGACAAUGGGAUGCUGAGGGGAAACCCCGAGCAAAUCUCAAAAAGCCGUCUCAGUUCGGAUUGUGCUCUGCAACUCGAGCACAUGAAGUUGGAAUCGCUAGUAAUCGCAGAUCAGCACGCUGCGGUGAAUACGUUCCCGGGCCUUGUACACACCGCCCGU